rnacentral:rRNA from 1 species
UACAGAGGGUGCGAGCGUUAAUCGGAAUUACUGGGCGUAAAGCGCGCGUAGGCGGCUUUGCAAGUCGGGUGUGAAAUCCCCAGGCUUAACCUGGGAACUGCAUUCGAGACUGCAUUGCUAGAGUAUGGGAGAGGGAAGUGGAAUUUCCGGUGUAGCGGUGAAAUGCGUAGAUAUCGGAAGGAACAUCAGUGGCGAAAGCGGUGGUCUGGGCCGGCACUGACGCUGAGGAGCGAAAGCGUGGGGAGCGAACAGG